rnacentral:misc_RNA from 1 species
GCCGAAUGUGGUCGUAGACGGCAUCGAAUAUCGGGGCAGUCAUCCUCAGGACGACUUCGUCCUCAUGAGUCCCCGAUAAGGCCCGCAGAAUCAGAUCAAAACCGGCCGCCUCGGGGGCAUCGUAGAGCUCAUCCUCGAGAUCUGCCUCGUGAACGAUCGCCGCGAUCCGCCACAGCACCGGAUCAGCUAUUUCAUAAAGACGCAGGAUUGUCUCGAAGGUGCAAUCGCGUCCCUGGUGACCCAACUCCACCCCAC